rnacentral:pre_miRNA from 1 species
CUUUUAUUAGAUAUUGACCGUCACGUGUGAUGUUUUUAUUGGACAUUAGUUUCGUGUACCUAAUUAAUGUCAAUCUCUAAUAAAAGCGUGACACAUGACGGUCAAGAUAA